rnacentral:rRNA from 1 species
GUGGGGAAUCUUGCACAAUGGAGGAAACUCUGAUGCAGCGACGCCGCGUGAGCGAUGAAGCCCCUCGGGGUGUAAAGCUCUUUCGACGGGAAAGAUAAUGACGGUACCCGAAGAAGAAGCUGCGGCUAACUACGUGCCAGCAGCCGCGGUAAUACGUAGGCAGCAAGCGUUGUUCGGAAUUACUGGGCGUAAAGAGUGUGUAGGCGGUGUUCUAAGUCUGUUGUGAAAUCUCCCGGCUUAACUGGGAGGGUGCGGCGGAGACUGGAAUGCUAGAGUGUGGGAGAGGUAAGCGGAAUUCCUGGUGUAGCGGUGAAAUGCGUAGAUAUCAGGAGGAACACCUGUGGUGUAGACAGCUUACUGGACCACGACUGACGCUGAGACACGAAAGCGUGGGUAGCAAACAGGAUUAGAUACCCCAGUAGUCC